CUACGGGAGGCUGCAGUGGGGAAUAUUGGACAAUGGGGGAAACCCUGAUCCAGCAAUGCCGCGUGUGUGAAGAAGGCCUGCGGGUUGUAAAGCACUUUCGGUUGGGAGGACUGCUUCUAGCACUAAUAUUGUUGGAAGUUGACGUUACCUUCAGAAGAAGCACCGGCUACUCCGUGCCAGCAGCCGCGGUAAUACGGAGGGUGCAAGCGUUAAUCGGAAUUACUGGGCGUAAAGCGCGCGUAGGCGGCUAGAUCAGUCGGGUGUGAAAGCCCCGGGCUUAACCUGGGAACUGCAUCCGAUACUGUCUAGCUUGAGUACAGGAGAGGAGAGUGGAAUUCCACAUGUAGCGGUGAAAUGCGUAGAUAUGUGGAGGAACACCAAUGGCGAAGGCAGCUCUCUGGCCUGAUACUGACGCUGAGGUGCGAAAGCGUGGGGAGCAAACGGGAUUAGAUACCCGGGUAGUC
rnacentral:rRNA from 1 species